UGCUAUACAUGCAGUCGAGCGGACAGAAGGGAGCUUGCUCCCGGAUGUUAGCGGCGGACGGGUGAGUAACACGUGGGUAACCUGCCUGUAAGACUGGGAUAACUCCGGGAAACCGGAGCUAAUACCGGAUAGUUCCUUGAACCGCAUGGUUCAAGGAUGAAAGACGGUUUCGGCUGUCACUUACAGAUGGACCCGCGGCGCAUUAGCUAGUUGGUGAGGUAACGGCUCACCAAGGCGACGAUGCGUAGCCGACCUGAGAGGGUGAUCGGCCACACUGGGACUGAGACACGGCCCAGACUCCUACGGGAGGCAGCAGUAGGGAAUCUUCCGCAAUGGACGAAAGUCUGACGGAGCAACGCCGCGUGAGUGAUGAAGGUUUUCGGAUCGUAAAGCUCUGUUGUUAGGGAAGAACAAGUGCAAGAGUAACUGCUUGCACCUUGACGGUACCUAACCAGAAAGCCACGGCUAACUACGUGCCAGCAGCCGCGGUAAUACGUAGGUGGCAAGCGUUGUCCGGAAUUAUUGGGCGUAAAGGGCUCGCAGGCGGUUUCUUAAGUCUGAUGUGAAAGCCCCCGGCUCAACCGGGGAGGGUCAUUGGAAACUGGGAAACUUGAGUGCAGAAGAGGAGAGUGGAAUUCCACGUGUAGCGGUGAAAUGCGUAGAGAUGUGGAGGAACACCAGUGGCGAAGGCGACUCUCUGGUCUGUAACUGACGCUGAGGAGCGAAAGCGUGGGGAGCGAACAGGAUUAGAUACCCUGGUAGUCCACGCCGUAAACGAUGAGUGCUAAGUGUUAGGGGGUUUCCGCCCCUUAGUGCUGCAGCUAACGCAUUAAGCACUCCGCCUGGGGAGUACGGUCGCAAGACUGAAACUCAAAGGAAUUGACGGGGGCCCGCACAAGCGGUGGAGCAUGUGGUUUAAUUCGAAGCAACGCGAAGAACCUUACCAGGUCUUGACAUCCUCUGACAACCCUAGAGAUAGGGCUUUCCCUUCGGGGACAGAGUGACAGGUGGUGCAUGGUUGUCGUCAGCUCGUGUCGUGAGAUGUUGGGUUAAGUCCCGCAACGAGCGCAACCCUUGAUCUUAGUUGCCAGCAUUCAGUUGGGCACUCUAAGGUGACUGCCGGUGACAAACCGGAGGAAAGGUGGGGAUGACGUCAAAUCAUCAUGCCCCUUAUGACCUGGGCUAC
rnacentral:rRNA from 1 species